rnacentral:tRNA from 1 species
GGGCCCGUGGUUAAACGGUAUAACGUUCCCUUCGCAGGGGAAAGGCUCCGGGUUCGAUUCCCGGCGGGUCCA